rnacentral:rRNA from 1 species
ACGUCAAAACCUUGGUAGGCCAUCACCCCACCAACAAGCUGAUAUCCCAUAGACUCUUCCUUAACACGAAA